GGAGCUUGCUCCCGGAUGUUAGCGGCGGACGGGUGAGUAACACGUGGGUAACCUGCCUGUAAGACUGGGAUAACUCCGGGAAACCGGAGCUAAUACCGGAUAGUUCCUUGAACCGCAUGGUUCAAGGAUGAAAGACGGUUUCGGCUGUCACUUACAGAUGGACCCGCGGCGCAUUAGCUAGUUGGUGAGGUAACGGCUCACCAAGGCGACGAUGCGUAGCCGACCUGAGAGGGUGAUCGGCCACACUGGGACUGAGACACGGCCCAGACUCCUACGGGAGGCAGCAGUAGGGAAUCUUCCGCAAUGGACGAAAGUCUGACGGAGCAACGCCGCGUGAGUGAUGAAGGUUUUCGGAUCGUAAAGCUCUGUUGUUAGGGAAGAACAAGUGCAAGAGUAACUGCUUGCACCUUGACGGUACCUAACCAGAAAGCCACGGCUAACUACGUGCCAGCAGCCGCGGUAAUACGUAGGUGGCAAGCGUUGUCCGGAAUUAUUGGGCGUAAAGGGCUCGCAGGCGGUUUCUUAAGUCUGAUGUGAAAGCCCCCGGCUCAACCGGGGAGGGUCAUUGGAAACUGGGAAACUUGAGUGCAGAAGAGGAGAGUGGAAUUCCACGUGUAGCGGUGAAAUGCGUAGAGAUGUGGAGGA
rnacentral:rRNA from 1 species